rnacentral:rRNA from 1 species
UAUGGGCCUUGGGCGAAAGCUGGACCCAGCGACACCGCGUGGGGGAUGAAGGUUCUCGGAUCGUAAACCCCUUUUCUCAGGGAAGAUAAUGACGGUACCUGAGGAAUAAGUCUCGGCCAACUACGUGCCAGCAGCCGCGGUAAU